rnacentral:rRNA from 1 species
UGGACGAAGUCUUUCCNAGCACGCCGCGUGAGUGAUGAACGUUUUCGGAUCGUAAAGCUCUGUUGUUAGGGAAGAACAAGUGCCGUUCAAAUAGGGCGGCACCUUGACGGUACCUAACCAGAAAGCCACGGCUAACUACGUGCCAGCAGCCGCGGUAAUACGNAGGUGGCAAGCGUUGUCCGGAAUUAUUGGGCGUAAAGGGCUCNCAGGCGGUUUCUUAAGUCUGAUGUGAAAGCCCCCGGCUCAACCGGGGAGGGUCAUUGGAAACUGGGGAACUUGAGUGCAGAAGAGGAGAGUGGAAUUCCACGUGUAGCGGUGAAANGCGUAGAGAUGUGGAGGAACACCAGUGGCGAAGGCGACUCUCUGGUCUGUAACUGACGCUGAGGAGCGAAAGCGUGGGGNGCGAACAGGAUUANAUACCCUGGUAGUCCACGCCGUAAACGAUGAGUGCUAAGUGUUAGGGGGUUUCCGCCCCUUAGUGCUGCANCUAACGCAUUAAAGCACUCCGCCUGGGGAUUACGGUCGCAAGACUGAACUCAAANGAAAUUGACNGGGGCCCC